UUUGAUCCUGGCUCAGAUUGAACGCUGGCGGCAUGCCUUACACAUGCAAGUCGAACGGUAACAGGUCUUUCGGGAUGCUGACGAGUGGCGAACGGGUGAGUAAUACAUCGGAACGUGCCUAGUAGUGGGGGAUAACUACUCGAAAGAGUGGCUAAUACCGCAUGAGAUCUAUGGAUGAAAGCAGGGGACCUUCGGGCCUUGUGCUACUAGAGCGGCCGAUGGCAGAUUAGGUAGUUGGUGGGAUAAAAGCUUACCAAGCCUGCGAUCUGUAGCUGGUCUGAGAGGACGAUCAGCCACACUGGGACUGAGACACGGCCCAGACUCCUACGGGAGGCAGCAGUGGGGAAUUUUGGACAAUGGGGGAAACCCUGAUCCAGCAAUGCCGCGUGCAGGAUGAAGGCCUUCGGGUUGUAAACUGCUUUUGUACGGAACGAAAAGUCUUGGGCUAAUACCCUGGGAUCAUGAC
rnacentral:rRNA from 1 species